rnacentral:antisense_RNA from 1 species
CAUUUAACAGCUUUUGUUUUGGGCAGAAGAACGUGUGGGCACAAAAAGCAGGAUCGAGUAGCGGUGGCUGAAGAACGAGCAGGAGCUUGAAUUUCAGUUUUCUUAUGAGGAAUUUUCCAGAAAAGAUAUCUUCACUGUGAAAUAAGUAAAUAAAUGCUCACUCAGUACAGUCACUGUCUCCCUUUUGGAACUUGAUGGCACCUUAAGCCCAGGUUUGUCUCCACUCUAGAAACUCAUCAGAGUGAUGCCCUUCUCAAAUGGGGGAGGUCCCAAAGGGGAUAUCCUGGCAGUGUGAAAGGCCAGCUAAAGCUUUCCCUGAGCUCCAAACACAGAGCUGAGACUUCCACCUAAUGUAGAAAGCUAGCACGAGCCGGCGCUGACAGAUGGAAGACUUGAGAUGUUACAAGAUUAUAUAUGGAAACACAAAAGGAGUGGAGUUUCUGGGUCAUAUGGCAAUUCAUUUGAGGAACUGAGAAGCUUAUUCCACAGAGGCUGAACUGUUUUAUAUUCCCACCAGCAAUGUGUAAGGUUCCAGUUUCUCUACAUCAUCACCAACACUUGCU